rnacentral:sRNA from 1 species
GUCAGCGCGCAGGGCCAGGAGAGCUCUCAUUUCCUCCCAGCCUCGUGCGGGAAAUGGCUUUAAUUCUGACGGCAGGGCUGUGAGGGACUAGUGGGAACCCGAGCCUUUUGUCAAGGAACUGCGGCGUCGGUGGCCAGUCAUACCCGCCGCCGCGGAGCCGCUGCACUGCUGGGGGAUCUCCCAGCAGCUCUGACGAGCGCGGGCUGCAGCAUGGGCAGAAAACGCUGCUCUGCAGAUUAGCUGGGUGGAUUUUUUAAGCGCACCCCACCCCCCAAACCCAUAAAAUAACAAAACCAACCCGCAGUGGCCGACCGGAGAUAGCUAAGAUGCCGCGCAGGAGGUCAAGAAGCAGGACACAGCCAGCUCCCAGAGCCCAGUGCACCCUUGAAUCACACCCUGCUUCCCCCUGGAGGUAACAACUCACCUUCCUUUUAUGUUUCCACCUGGAUGUUUGAGGUUGUGUAGAUGUGGCCAGCACCCUUGAGAGUGGAGCUAGGGGGUGCAGACUGAGCAGUGAACAGAAGGAGCCUUGGACAGGGCUGGGCCAGCCU